rnacentral:rRNA from 1 species
GAUGAACGCUAGCUACAGGCUUAACACAUGCAAGUCGAGGGGCAGCAUGGUCUUAGCUUGCUAAGGCCGAUGGCGACCGGCGCACGGGUGAGUAACACGUAUCCAACCUGCCGUCUACUCUUGGACAGCCUUCUGAAAGGAAGAUUAAUACAAGAUGGCAUCAUGAGUCCGCAUGUUCACAUGAUUAAAGGUAUUCCGGUAGACGAUGGGGAUGCGUUCCAUUAGAUAGUAGGCGGGGUAACGGCCCACCUAGUCUUCGAUGGAUAGGGGUUCUGAGAGGAAGGUCCCCCACAUUGGAACUGAGACACGGUCCAAACUCCUACGGGAGGCAGCAGUGAGGAAUAUUGGUCAAUGGGCGAGAGCCUGAACCAGCCAAGUAGCGUGAAGGAUGACUGCCCUAUGGGUUGUAAACUUCUUUUAUAAAGGAAUAAAGUCGGGUAUGGAUACCCGUUUGCAUGUACUUUAUGAAUAAGGAUCGGCUAACUCCGUGCCAGCAGCCGCGGUAAUACGGAGGAUCCGAGCGUUAUCCGGAUUUAUUGGGUUUAAAGGGAGCGUAGAUGGAUGUUUAAGUCAGUUGUGAAAGUUUGCGGCUCAACCGUAAAAUUGCAGUUGAUACUGGAUAUCUUGAGUGCAGUUGAGGCAGGCGGAAUUCGUGGUGUAGCGGUGAAAUGCUUAGAUAUCACGAAGAACUCCGAUUGCGAAGGCAGCCUGCUAAGCUGCAACUGACAUUGAGGCUCGAAAGUGUGGGUAUCAAACAGGAUUAGAUACCCUGGUAGUCCACACGGUAAACGAUGAAUACUCGCUGUUUGCGAUAUACAGCAAGCGGCCAAGCGAAAGCGUUAAGUAUUCCACCUGGGGAGUACGCCGGCAACGGUGAAACUCAAAGGAAUUGACGGGGGCCCGCACAAGCGGAGGAACAUGUGGUUUAAUUCGAUGAUACGCGAGGAACCUUACCCGGGCUUAAAUUGCAGAUGAAUUACGGUGAAAGCCGUAAGCCGCAAGGCAUCUGUGAAGGUGCUGCAUGGUUGUCGUCAGCUCGUGCCGUGAGGUGUCGGCUUAAGUGCCAUAACGAGCGCAACCCUUGUUGUCAGUUACUAACAGGUUCCGCUGAGGACUCUGACAAGACUGCCAUCGUAAGAUGUGAGGAAGGUGGGGAUGACGUCAAAUCAGCACGGCCCUUACGUCCGGGGCUACACACGUGUUACAAUGGGGGGUACAGAGGGCCGCUACCACGCGAGUGGAUGCCAAUCCCCAAAACCUCUCUCAGUUCGGACUGGAGUCUGCAACCCGACUCCACGAAGCUGGAUUCGCUAGUAAUCGCGCAUCAGCCACGGCGCGGUGAAUACGUUCCCGGGCCUUGUACACACCGCCCGUCAAGCCAUGGGAGCCGGGGGUACCUGAAGUGCGUAACCGCGAGGAGCGCCCUAGGGUAAAACUGGUGACUGGGGCUAA